rnacentral:rRNA from 1 species
AUUGAACGCUGGCGGCAGGCCUAACACAUGCAAGUCGAACGAGUGGCGGACGGGUGAGUAAUGUCUGGGAAACUGCCCGAUGGAGGGGGAUAACUACUGGAAACGGUAGCUAAUACCGCAUACCAUCAGAUGUACCCAUAUGGGAUUAGCUAGUAGGUGGGGUAACGGCUCACCUAGGCGACGAUCCCUAGCUGGUCUGAGAGGAUGACCAGCCACACUGGAACUGAGACACGGUCCAGACUCCUACGGGAGGCAGCAGUGGGGAAUAUUGCACAAUGGGCGCAAGCCUGAUGCAGACAUGCCGCGUGUAUGAAGAAGUCCUUAGGGUUGUAAAGUACUUUCAGCGGGGAGGCGUUACCCGCAGAAGAAGCACCGGCUAACUCCGUGCCAGCCGCCGCGGUAAUUC